rnacentral:misc_RNA from 1 species
AGGCUUUUCAUCAAUCUUUACAGCAGUCACGAUUCCUCUAAUCACUAGGUUUAGUAUACAAAUAUUUGGACCAACACAAAUCAAAAUAGCUAGGAAUCAAAACUUGUAUAACGAUAACACAAGUGUCUUAAUCGCAGCAUUCUCACUUUACACUUGUGUGAGACGAUUAGUAGUUUAUUUUAAUACCCGUGCGACCGGGGCGGGGCCAGA